rnacentral:rRNA from 1 species
AUUGAACGCUGGCGGCAUGCCUUACACAUGCAAGUCGAACGGCAGCACGGGGGCAACCCUGGUGGCGAGUGGCGAACGGGUGAGUAAUGCAUCGGAAUGUACCCAGUAGUGGGGGGAUAACUAGUCGAAAGACUGGCUAAUACCGCAUACGCACUAUGGUGGAAAGCGGGGGAUCGCAAGACCUCGCGCUAUUGGAGCAGCCGAUGUCCGAUUAGGUAGUUGGUGGGGUAAAGGCCUACCAAGCCUGCGAUCGGUAACUGGUCUGAGAGGACGACCAGUCACACUGGGACUGAGACACGGCCCAGACUCCUACGGGAGGCAGCAGUGGGGAAUUUUGGACAAUGGGCGCAAGCCUGAUCCAGCAAUGCCGCGUGUGUGAAGAAGGCC